UCCUUCUCUCUCUCUCCUUCUCU
rnacentral:snRNA from 1 species